UACGGAGGGUGCAAGCGUUAAUCGGAAUUACUGGGCGUAAAGCGCGCGUAGGUGGUUUGUUAAGUCGGAUGUGAAAGCCCAGGGCUCAACCUUGGAACUGCAUUCGAUACUGGCAAGCUAGAGUAUGUGAGAGGGAAGUGGAAUUCCGGGUGUAGCGGUGAAAUGCGUAGAUAUCCGGAGGAACACCAAUGGCGAAGGCAACUUCCUGGUGCAAUACUGACACUGAGGCGCGAAAGCGUGGGUAGCAAACAGG
rnacentral:ncRNA from 2 species